AGAGUUUGAUCCUGGCUCAGGAUGAACGCUGGCGGCGUGCCUAAUACAUGCAAGUCGAGCGAACAGAUAAGGAGCUUGCUCCUUUGACGUUAGCGGCGGACGGGUGAGUAACACGUGGAUAACCUACCUAUAAGACUGGGAUAACUUCGGGAAACCGGAGCUAAUACCGGAUAACAUAUUGAACCGCAUGGUUCAAUAGUGAAAGGCGGCUUUGCUGUCACUUAUAGAUGGAUCCGCGCCGUAUUAGCUAGUUGGUAAGGUAACGGCUUACCAAGGCAACGAUACGUAGCCGACCUGAGAGGGUGAUCGGCCACACUGGAACUGAGACACGGUCCAGACUCCUACGGGAGGCAGCAGUAGGGAAUCUUCCGCAAUGGGCGAAAGCCUGACGGAGCAACGCCGCGUGAGUGAUGAAGGUCUUCGGAUCGUAAAACUCUGUUAUCAGGGAAGAACAAAUGUGUAAGUAACUGUGCACAUCUUGACGGUACCUGAUCAGAAAGCCACGGCUAACUACGUGCCAGCAGCCGCGGUAAUACGUAGGUGGCAAGCGUUAUCCGGAAUUAUUGGGCGUAAAGCGCGCGUAGGCGGUUUUUUAAGUCUGAUGUGAAAGCCCACGGCUCAACCGUGGAGGGUCAUUGGAAACUGGAAAACUUGAGUGCAGAAGAGGAAAGUGGAAUUCCAUGUGUAGCGGUGAAAUGCGCAGAGAUAUGGAGGAACACCAGUGGCGAAGGCGACUUUCUGGUCUGUAACUGACGCUGAUGUGCGAAAGCGUGGGGAUCAAACAGGAUUAGAUACCCUGGUAGUCCACGCCGUAAACGAUGAGUGCUAAGUGUUAGGGGGUUUCCGCCCCUUAGUGCUGCAGCUAACGCAUUAAGCACUCCGCCUGGGGAGUACGACCGCAAGGUUGAAACUCAAAGGAAUUGACGGGGGCCCGCACAAGCGGUGGAGCAUGUGGUUUAAUUCGAAGCAACGCGAAGAACCUUACCAGGUCUUGACAUCC
rnacentral:rRNA from 1 species